GACAGAGGGUGCAACGUUGUUCGGAAUUACUGGGCGUAAAGCGUGUGUAGGCGGCCUUGCAAGUCGGAUGUGAAAGCCCCGGGCUCAACCCGGGAAGUGCACCCGAUACUGCUAGGCUUGAGUACCGGAGAGGUUGGUGGAAUUCUCGGGUGUAGAGGUGAAAUUCGGUAGAUAUCGGAGAGGAACACCGGUGGCGAAGGCGGCCAACUGGACGAGUGACAUGACGCU
rnacentral:rRNA from 1 species